UCUGGUACCUUCGGUGCCCGAGUUGUAAUUUGAAGAAAGCUAUCUUGGAGGUGGCCCUUGUCUAUGUUCCUUGGAACAGGACGUCAUGGAGGGUGAGAAUCCCGUGUGAUGAGGUGUCCAUUUCCGUGUAAGAUGCUUUCGAAGAGUCGAGUUGUUUGGGAAUGCAGCUCAAAGUGGGUGGUAAAUUCCAUCUAAAGCUAAAUAUUGGCGAGAGACCGAUAGCGAACAAGUACUGUGAAGGAAAGAUGAAAAGAACUUUGAAAAGAGAGUGAAAAAGUACGUGAAAUUGUUGAAAGGGAAGGGUAUUUGAUCAGACUUGGUAUUUAGCUAUCAUCGCUCCUUGUGGGUGGUGCUCUAGCUUUUUACUGGGCCAGCAUCAGUUUUGGUGGCAAGAUAAUGACAGUUGAAUGUGGCUCCUCGGAGUGUUAUAGCUUCUGUUGAUGUUGCCUACCGAGACUGAGGUCUGCGGCUUUUGCCUAGGAUGCUGGCGUAAUGAUCCAAUACCGCCCGUCUG
rnacentral:rRNA from 1 species